GAUGAACGCUGGCGGCGUGCUUAACACAUGCAAGUCGAACGAAGCAUACGAAUUGGAUUUCUUCGGAAAAAAGAAUCGUAUGACUGAGUGGCGGACGGGUGAGUAACGCGUGUGUAACCUACCUCAUACAGGGGGAUAACAGUUAGAAAUGACUGCUAAUACCGCAUAAGCGCACAGGACCACAUGGUUCGGUGUGAAAAACUCCGGUGGUAUGAGAUGGACCCGCUGCUGAUUAGCUAGUUGGUAAGGUAAUGGCUUACCAAGGCGACGAUCAGUAGACGACCGGAGAGGGUGAUCGGCCACAUUGGGACUGAGACAAGGACCAAACUCCUACGGGAGGCAGCAGUGGGGAAUAUUGCACAAUGGGGGAAACCCUGAUGCAGCGACGCCGCGUGAAGGAAGACGUGUUUCGGCAUGUAAACUUCUAUCAGCAGGGAAGAAAAUGACGGUACCUGACUAAGAAGCCCCGGCUAACUACGUGCCAGCCGCCGCAGUAA
rnacentral:rRNA from 1 species